rnacentral:rRNA from 1 species
GACGAACGCUGGCGGCGUGCCUAAUACAUGCAAGUUGAGCGAUGAAGAUUGGUGCUUGCACCAAUUUGAAGAGCAGCGAACGGGUGAGAAACGCGUGGGGAAUCUGCCUUUGAGCGGGGGACAACAUUUGGAAACGAAUGCUAAUACCGCAUAACAACUUUAACAUAAGUUUUAAGUUUGAAAGAUGCAAUUGCAUCACUCAAAGAUGAUCCCGCGUUGUAUUAGCUAGUUGGUGAGGUAAAGGCUCACCAAGGCGAUGAUACAUAGCCGACCUGAGAGGGUGAUCGGCCACAUUGGGACUGAGACACGGCCCAAACUCCUACGGGAGGCAGCAGUAGGGAAUCUUCGGCAAUGGACGAAAGUCUGACCGAGCAACGCCGCGUGAGUGAAGAAGGUUGUCGGAUCGUAAAACUCUGUUGGUAGAGAAGAACGUUGGUGAGAGUGGAAAGCUCAUCAAGUGACGGUAACUACCCAGAAAGGGACGGCUAACUACGUG